AUAACAUAGGGAAUUACUAAGUCAUUACUUUCAAGUUUAUAAAUAAUAAUAAAAUCUGUGAAAGUUCAAUUAAAAUACCACACCAUGGCCCAAUAGAAUCCGGUGUCACGAACAUGAGCCUCUAAUACAGAAUAUCCACCUAUUACAAGUCUGUCUAGGAAAAAUGCGGAAUAAAAGAUGGAGAUAGAGGGGAGAGAUCAAGGCUGCGAAUGCCAUGCAGCUACCUCGAUACUCCUGGAUACUGCUGCUCACCUAAACAAAUCCUCACUCAGCCUGUAGUGUACCUGGAUCUGCACACAAGGUGAAGGGAGUAAUGUGAGUACUCCGACCCAGUGAGUAAUAAACAUAAAUAAAGGCUGAGAAUAAGAAAUCAUGGACAAUACAAGGUAAACUAUAACUGGCAGUUUAUAACAACGAAUAGUGAAGCAACAAGUCAAUAAAAUCAGAGUACAGAUACAAAGGCAGGUAUAACAGAUAAAGAACAAUGCAUAAGAUGUAAUGCAAUGCAUAUGACGGUACACUUCGGUACCCACUACGGCGUGUAGCCCGAGCCAUCCAUUUAUUUAUCGUCGACGGCGCUCACUGGGGGUGUGUACAGACUCCGGAGGGGUUCCUACAGCUCAAGCGCAAUAUCAAGCCAUCUCGUGGCAUCAAAUCUAGGCCCUCGGCCUCAUAUCAAUCUCAGUAUAAUCACCCAAGCUCUCGGCCUCAAUAUUAAUGUAAUCAACCAGGCUCUCAGCCUCAAUAUCAAUAUAACACUGCUGCGGCGCGCAGCCCAAUCCAUGCUCAGUCCAUAAAUCAUCAUAAGCCCCUUGGGCAUUUGUAAAACAGUAGUUUUCAGCCCGAAAUAUCAUUUAGAAAUAUCAUUUAAGUUUUCAAAUCUUAGAAAGAUGGCUGAGUUUGCAAAACAGUAUUUAAAACCUUGGACUGAGGUCAAAUGAUAUGCAAAAUAUGCGAAAACAGUGAUAUCAAUCCCUGAAGGAUUCAAAUAAUUGGCAAGAAGCCCACAAUUGGAAACAUGACUGAGGAUAUAAAUUCUUUAACAAAAUAAGUGAGGAAAACCAGUCAAAACUCCCCUAAGGGUUCUACAGGUCGGCACAAGGCCCCAAGCAUGGCAACAAGACAAAUUCACAAUAAUAAAGUAUACGUCUCAAUCAAAAAUGUAGUAAAAUAUCUCUAGGGACGGACCAAGUCACAAUCCCCAACGGUGCUCUACCCCACGCCCAUUAUCCGGCGUGCAAGUCAACUCAAUAUAGCGUUACGAUGUGAAAUUACGGGGUUUCAAACCCUCAGGACAUCAAUUACUCACCUUGAACCGGCUAAUUCUCUAGCUUGCGAUGCCUUUGCCCCUUAUUGACCUCUGAAUGCCUCAAAUCUAGCCAUAAAAAUUUGAUUCAGUUAAUAAAAAUUAUAGGAAUUAAUUCCAUAUGAAUUUACACAUUUUCCAAAUUAAAUCCGAAAUUUAGCUCAAACUUGCCCGUGUGACCCACAUCUCGGAAUCCGGCGAAACUUAUAAAAUCCGAUAACCCAUUCCGAUACGAGUUUAACCAUACAAAAUUAUCGAAUUCCGACAUCGGAUUGCCCUUCAAAUCCUCAAUUAAUGUUUUGAAGAUUUCUACCAUUUUUACCCAAUCUUUACCUAUUUGAACUCAAUAAUCUUCCCAUAACCUUAUUGUUACAAGCAUGUAUAGCUAAUACUCAAACAUCUAUGAAUCAUCUUACUAAUUACCCAUUUCUAGUUAGAUUUCGAAAUUGAAGAAUUGGGAAAAAAGAAACUCUUACUUCUUUGAUGAAGAACUUGAGGGAUUUCAAGGUUUGGACAAGAUUUUUGAUGAAAAAGGAACUUGAGCUUCUUCCUCUCUCUAGAACUGUUCUUCCCUCUCUCUAAAAGUACUAGAAAAUCCCAAAAUAACAAACCCCAAACGAGUUAAAUGAAAUGGAGUUCGGGUCUUAAAAACCCAUUUUUGUGCAGCCGCGACGCGUGGGGCGCCGCAGGGUGCGGGGUGUCUGUUCAAAAUAUGUCUGGAAAUGAAAUUUCGGACCAUUCUGGAAUUCCUACUGGCGCGGCGUGCCGUGCGCCGCAUGGGGCGGCGCGGCAGUACAAAUUUCUGCGCUGUUUUGGUAAUUUGGUCAUAACUUCUAGUAGGAGGUUCCGAAUGACGAACGGUUUGAAGCACUGGAAGCUAGACUCAAAAACCUUUCAUUUGAUAGGUUUUACAUCACAUAGUUCUUUAUAUGUGUAGAUAUGAUCGUCCAAAGUGAGGCAUUGCGCGUACUCAUUUGCAAUUUUGGUCUAUUAUGAAAUUUUCCAACUUAGCUUAGACUUAGGACUUUCCUUAGACCCUAUAUAUCUUAUAGUAAGCCUCGUACACUUGCUAUCAUAUCUAAUUGGUAUCCAUCAUGGUAAUAGACCUCUUCCACAUAUAAAAUAAUAUAAUUAGAACACGUCGACUUUCUUAUUUCGCCAAAAUGCGUCGAAUUGUCCUAUGGACUUCCAAAUCCAAAUUCGGACACACGUCUAAGUCCAAAAUCACCAUACGAAGCUACAGCAACUCUUGGAAUUCCAUUCUGACUCUCGGAUCAAAAUCUCACCUAUCAACCGGAAUUCGCCAAAAUACUAACUUUGCCAAUUCAAGCCUAAUUCUACACCGGACCUCCAAAAUUACUUCUGAUCACACUCCUAAGUCACAAAUCAUCCCCCGAAGCUAACCGAAUCAUCGGGAUUCAAAUCCGAUCCUUCUAACAUAUAAGUCAACGUCUGAUUGACUUUUCCAAAACAAACAUUCCUUAAAGAGACUAAGUGUCUCAUUUCCUACUAAAACCAAUCCAAAUCAACUCGUUCACACCCAACACUGAUAAUAAAGCAUAAAGAAAUAGAAAAUGGGGGAAACGGGGUGGUAACUCACGAGACGACGGGUCGGGUCGUCAUUUGGAUAUAAGCUAUAUACCUAAUUCUCUAGUAGCUGAUCUACGUCUAGAACCAAUGCAUUAGUAAUAAUAAGAUGAUGUCACUGUGAGAUGGAAGAAUAUGUAUGGUAUUAUCCAGUGGCACCAUCUCUGAUUUAUCUUUUCAUUGUAGCUUCUUUUGGAUAUGCACAUAUAGACAUAGAGGGGAAUUCGAAAGGCUGAGCAAAAUGAUAUUUGUUGUCAUUGUUUUGUAAACUAGCUUAUGGCUGUUUUGAAUUCUAAAAUAUUUGAUUGCUCAUUGUGAUCAUCGCAAAUAUACAUUUCUAUAAGUUGUUGUGCUUCUGCUAAAAAUGACAUUGCAUUUCUUGGUGUAUCUGUACUAUAGAAAAGACAUAUUAUAUGGUAUUGAAACAAAAAAACCUAAAUAGAGUGGAAUGUAUAUAGAGCAUUCAUAUCAUUGACCCCCAUUAGUUUGGUAUUGAGUCAUCUUUGAGUGACUGAUUAAUUAUCUUUUCUAGAAUGUAGAAAUAGCUUGCUGCUUUGUAGUUGCUUUAAAGAAUUUACUUUAUCCAAUUUCAGAUGUCGAAUUGUCAAAUAACAGACAGAAGAGAAUUCUUUUGUCUUGCCUCCUUUUUUUCUUUAGGUUUCUUGGUGCUUUUGCCAUGCUCAGUCUGUCAUUCGGCCACAACUUACAACUUGCAUCUGCUUUGUUGUGCCUUUGCUAACUCAUUGUUGUUGUCAUAAAAGUACAACUGUAAAUUUUUUGGUUUUUUUCCUCCGGGAUACAAAUCAUCUAUUAGGUGAUACAUUCGUCCUUGAACUCUAAAAGUAUAAAUACCAUGAUUCCUUCUCACUAAGUCUGUAUCAUAGCUUACACCAAGUGAUGUAAAUGCAAAUGUCUUAUUAUAUGUUCUGAUGUAUGUUUGAAAGUGUUGGGAUUUUUCACUAUUCUCAAAAUAUAGAUCAUGUAGCUUAGUGGGCAUUCGAUGUGAAAUUAUCUUAACUGUAUCAGUGUCACAACAAAAUCCAGGAGAUUCAUAUUCAAAUCUUUUCGCAAAGCAAAAUUUACAAUUUGGAACCUUUUUUAAUGGCACAUAGUCUGAACGUAAUUCAAUAUUCAUAGCAGUUUUGUUAUUUCGAGCGCGGCCUGCAUGUUGUAGAAGUUGUAAGGAGUGAAAUAGUAAGCACAAAAUGAUAUUGCCUAAAGAUGACACAAAUACAAACCUUUAGUUAUCAUUAUCUCAGUUGUAUCAUUUUGUUCAUUAGGUACAGCCGUUGUUGAACCUACCAGAUAAGUAGUUUUUUAGUCAACAUAAUGUCUUGUGUAUUAGUGUAAAAUUAUGGUAACUUUAGGCAAUUUGCCUUUCUCAUAAGUGCAAAGAGGAUUUCCCUUGUCAAAAGGAAGAAAUGAUGGAAGCAUUGUAACCUUACUCUCUGCAUAGUAGGCGUAAGCACAACAGAUGUCUAUAGUAUUAAAUUUAUGGUAGAUAUUCAUGCACACAAGAAAAUUAUAUUUGUUCUAAACAAUGAAACAAUUGCGUACUGUAUAGAUUGCGAUAUAAAAUUAGUAUACUAACCUGUUUUGGAAGUAUAGUAGGAGCCCUUUAUAUUAGAAGUACACUGUAAAUGUGCUAAUGUUGUUGUUAUAUCAGUAGAGAUAAUAGAAGUCGCUCUUUCAAAGCGAUUACGUUGCAACGCCUGAUUUUUGAGUACUUCCUGUAAUGAUAGUGCACUCUUUUCAUUCGUCAUCUUAAGUUUAUACUAUUCAUGUUGUCUAACAUUCCUAUUAGGACAUUUCUUUUCAGAGCAGGGACGCUUCUUUAUUUGUCCAGAGUCCAUCAAUAUUAAAAUUUGUUGUUCCCUAAUAUCAGUUGGUACAAAAGUCCUACAAUUUUUAAACGUUAUAAAAUUCAUGGUCAGUAAACAAACAAUACGCAACCAUACUAAGAAAUAGUUCUAAUGUCGUGUACCAAGAAAUUCAAUAACAAAACAUUGGUUGAAAGUCAAUAUUGAUUUAAUUUCAGAAGGUCAGAUCAUCUGAUCCGGUAGAAAUUUUACCAAAUCAAAAAUACAAAUUAGUAAUUGCACAAAUAGCAUUGAUCUACGUAAUAUAUACAUGGUUAAAUGAUUAAUUUUAGCAGCUUAUUAGAUUCUCAAACAUAUUUUAUGUUAUAUGCAGCUCGUGGUAAGAUAAAGCUUUUCUUAGAGUGAAUACAGUUGAAUGGUCACAUUUGAAGUAUUUAGCAACGGCAUAAACAAAUGAACCACUAAAUGCAACUUAUCUUUCACUUUGCGCAAAGUAAAGUGUAACUAUUUUCAUAUCAAAAGCAGGAAAAAAAUUUAAGAAACCAAAAAUUUUAACCACACAACAGUAGCUAUAUCAAACAGCAAAUGUAUUAUCUUGGGAUUAUCAGAAGAACAGAAAUGGAAACCACAUUACCUUUUGAUUCUAUUAAGCACAUCAAUAGGAAGUCCAAUAAUUGGUCAAUUUUACAUGAUGAAAAUGAAGUGUUUGAACAACUUUUACGUCAAGCCUUAAUUUCAAACCAAUCCAAAAUGUUAUGUCAUAAUGAUUUAAGUUAAAUGAGCUAAUCUUUUUAGGUUUAAUUUCUUUUCUCUCUUUCUUUUCGAUUUUAGGUUUAGUAUUGUUCAUCAUAAAGCGUAAUGAGAAGGCUCUAGGUUUAAUAUUUUCAACUAUUUUUUUCCCUUGAUCAAACCAAAACUUUCUUACCCUUCUAAACAGUAGUCAAAAAGAAAAUUUAUUUCUUGUAAAAUAGUGUUUAGCUUCAGAAAGUUCAAUGUAGUGAGUUCUUGGGAAAACUUAAUGUAGUUAGUAAGAAUUCAAUUUGUCAAUGGCAGGUCGGCCCAGUUACACAAGUUGGCACAUAGGAUUUUUUGAGUAAUGACUGCAACUAAGCUGUUUGAUAGUGUAAUAGCGUUAACCCCAUCAAAUUUGAAAGCAAUACCCAAUUGAAUUUCAGUUGAUUUUAAAAAAAUCCACAGCAAUUGCGAAAUCGAUUAAUGGAGAAGGAGACCUCCAAAUUAUUACAUAAUCACACAGUUUUUCCAAUUUAUCCAAAAUCAUAAUAAGGGAAUAAAAGAAAUUAGGGCUUUUAGCAUAAGGAUUUUGGAGUGUAAGGGUAGAAAUCAAGAGGAACAAAGUCAGUGGAAAAGAAGGGUACCUAGCAGUAGCGAGAGAGAACCAAAUUCGCCACCUAAGAAGAGUGUUGUUUCAGUUCAAUGCAUCCAAAUGUUUGUGCAACUUGCCAUAGUUAUCCUACUGAGCGAGUGUUUUAACACAAGAGAGCAGAGUGAAA
rnacentral:lncRNA from 1 species